GUAGGUGGCAAGCGUUGUCCGGAAUUAUUGGGCGUAAAGCGCGCGCAGGCGGUUCUUUAAGUCUGAUGUGAAAGCCCACGGCUCAACCGUGGAGGGUCAUUGGAAACUGGAGAACUUGAGUACAGAAGAGGAAAGCGGAAUUCCACGUGUAGCGGUGAAAUGCGUAGAGAUGUGGAGGAACACCAGUGGCGAAGGCGGCUUUCUGGUCUGUAACUGACGCUGAGGCGCGAAAGCGUGGGGAGCAAACAGGGAUUAGAUACCCUGGUAGUCCACGCCGUAAACGAUGAGUGCUAAGUGUUAGGGGGUUUCGCCCCCUUAGUGCUGCAGCUAACGCAUUAAGCACUCCGCCUGGGGAGUACGGCCGCAAGGCUG
rnacentral:rRNA from 1 species